GACGAACGCUGGCGGCGUGCUUAACACAUGCAAGUCGAACGGAAAGGCCCUGCUUUUGUUGGGUGCUCGAGUGGCGAACGGGUGAGUAACACGUGAGUAACCUGCCCUUGACUUUGGGAUAACUUCAGGAAACUGGGGCUCAUACCGGAUAGGAUCUCCUGCUGCAUGGUGGGGGUUGGAAAGUUUCGGCUGUUGGGGAUGGACUCGCGGCUUAUCAGCUUGUUGGUGGGGUAGUGGCUUACCAAGGCUUUGACGGGUAGCCGGCCUGAGAGGGUGACCGGCCACAUGGGGACUGAGAGACGGCCCAGAAUCGUACGGGAGGCAGCAGUGGGGAAUAUUGCACAAUGGGCGGAAGCCAGAUGCAGAAACGCCGCGUGCGGGAUGACGGCCUUCGGGGUGUAAACCGCUUUCGACUGUGACGAAGCGUGAGUGACGGUAAUGGGUAAAGAAGCAACGGCUAACUACGUG
rnacentral:rRNA from 1 species